GGUGAAAAAUGCAUGUGGGUCCGAGCCAUUCUUGGAGGCAAGCAACCAAACAAAAGACUAGUUGGCUCGUGCCAUUUCCUGAGGCUACCAUCGCCAUCAUCAUUGGAGCUGCCUCGAGCUAAGCGUGUUCGGCGGUUCCGAGCGUUGGUUCGUGGCUGAUUUCAGGGAAAGAUCGUGUAGCAGCUGCUCGAUGGAAGCUGACUUGGCUCUUGACCAGCACAGCUCUUCGCGGACGUCACCUGCAGUGGCAGAACCCGCAACGCGUGCGGUAACCCGCGUCCCACUGCAUUCACGGCGGCAAAUUGCUGCACUUGCCGGCCGCUCAAUUUUGCCCCGCCGCGCCGGCGCUGUUGGAAAUACCUAUCGCUUCAGUGCCGUGAAAGCCGCCGUCCGGCGCUUCCUCAAGGACCCGGUAGGCCAGCCGCUGCCUAAACCUGUCGAGAACUGCCUAACCGCACGAUUCAAGAAGAUACUGAGGGCUUACGCCACGCUGGUCGCCGAAGAGCUCCGCUUUCUGCAGCUUGUUCAGUACCUGGAAGAACGGUUGGCCGCGGCUGGUCGGGAACUGGGCAUCCUACAGGAGCGCCUCGCACAAGCCGAGUCUCAUUGGUUCAGCCAGUGGCGGAGUCCAAGAGCAGGAGACCAUGCGCGAGGCCCGGGUUGCUGAUGCCACGGAUGCGUCACACCACCGUCUUGUGGGAGCAAGUACUCGCCAAACACCGCCAGCGGUGUUCUAAAUAAAGGCUUUGGAUGAAAAAAUUA